AGCGAACGCUGGCGGCAGGCUUAACACAUGCAAGUCGAGCGGGCCCUUCGGGGUCAGCGGCGGACGGGUGAGUAACGCGUGGGAACGUGCCUUCUGGUUCGGAAUAACCCUGGGAAACUAGGGCUAAUACCGGAUACGCCCUUUUGGGGAAAGGUUUACUGCCGGAAGAUCGGCCCGCGUCUGAUUAGCUAGUUGGUGGGGUAAUGGCCUACCAAGGCGACGAUCAGUAGCUGGUCUGAGAGGAUGAUCAGCCACACUGGGACUGAGACACGGCCCAGACUCCUACGGGAGGCAGCAGUGGGGAAUAUUGGACAAUGGGCGCAAGCCUGAUCCAGCCAUGCCGCGUGAGUGAUGAAGGCCUUAGGGUUGUAAAGCUCUUUUAUCCGGGACGAUAAUGACGGUACCGGAGGAAUAAGCCCCGGCUAACUUCGUGCCAGCCGCCGCCGUAA
rnacentral:rRNA from 1 species